UCUGCUCCGCCGAAAUCGGCAGAUUUCACCGGAAGUCCGCGUGACGUAUUUCCUUCACCCGCCUCUGCUUCAUGUCAUGGUCGCCUGUUUCCGGUCGCGGGCAGCUAUGGAGAACAUCG
rnacentral:lncRNA from 1 species